UACGUAGGACCCAAGCGUUAUUCGGAAUUACUGGGCGUAAAGAGUUGCGUAGGUGGCAUAUUAAGCGGGUAGUGAAAUCGUACGGCUCAACCGUAUACACAUUAUCUGAACUGGUAAGCUAGAGUAUGAUAGAGGUAACUGGAAUUCCAAGUGUAGGAGUGAAAUCCGUAGAUAUUUGGAGGAACACCGAUGGCGUAGGCAGGUUACUGGAUCAUUACUGACACUGAGGCACGAAAGCGUGGGGAGCAAACGGG
rnacentral:rRNA from 1 species